rnacentral:rRNA from 1 species
AGAACGAACGCUGGCGGCAUGCCUAACACAUGCAAGUCGAACGCUUGCCGGGCUUCGGUUCGGCAGGAGUGGCGCACGGGUGAGUAGCGCGUGGGAACCUGCCCUGUUGUGGGGGAUAACCGAGGGAAACUUCGGCUAAUACCGCAUACGCCGGUUGUCUUGAAAGAGAUGGCCGGGAAAGAUUUAUCGCAACAGGAGGGGCCCGCGUCGGAUUAGGUAGUUGGUAGGGUAACGGCCUACCAAGCCUUUGAUCCGUAGCUGGUCUGAGAGGAUGAUCAGCCACACUGGGACUGAGACACGGCCCAGACUCCUACGGGAGGCAGCAGUGGGGAAUAUUGGACAAUGGGCGCAAGCCUGAUCCAGCAAUGCCGCGUGAGUGAUGAAGGCCUUAGGGUUGUAAAGCUCUUUCGCCCGCGACGAUGAUGACGGUAGCGGGAGAAGAAGCCCCGGCUAACUUCGUGCCAGCAGCCGCGGUAA